rnacentral:tRNA from 1 species
GUGGUUGUGGCUCACUGGUAGAGCACUCAUUUAGAAUGUGUGAAGCACUGGGUUCGAUCCUCUGCACCACA